UUGGGGGGGGGGGGGGUCACACGUGUAUGCACGAACACAAACGCCUGUGUAUGUUACCAAUGUCCACUGCAGGUGCCAACCCUAUGAAAGAAAGCAGUCGAAACCUAAGCAGUAAGCAGCUUCUUCCGAUGGUCUUGUCAGUAUAUGUUGCAUGCCAAUACCGUCAAGGCACACUGUCACGGAUAACCUAGGUCUGGCACCAAAUCUCCUGAUGACGUAACCAUGGUGACAUGGAAAGUAGAAUCAGCAGUCAGGACGGCGAUCAUGGUACCAUCAACAUCCCUGGGAUAUUUUGCCCGCCACUCAGCACUAGAAGAGCUCAAGUCUUGCAGCAGGUUGGACUUAUCUGGCACCAGUCUUGAUCUGGCCCAUUCAGAUCUUGUCCGCUAUCGUUGCAGUAAGAGAAAAAUUGUGUGUGCACAUCCAGUGCAUUUGCAGAUUUGCGUGCUUCUCUUGCGACCGCAUACACUUGGUACAUGGUGUGUGUGUGUGUGUGUGCGUGCGCAUGCGGUGAGCACGCACGGUGCGCGGGUUCAAGAUUGUGUUGGUGUGUGCAUGCGGGCGAGUAUAUUCACAUGCUGAUGCUGGUUCUACACAUAUCAUUGUGUUGAGAGUUGGCAGGCGGUGCGAUACAUAUUUUCCAAGGCAUUGGCAUGCCUUUUAAAUUCUCUCGCACAGAUUUUGACCGUGCUCUCAUUUAGGCUCAUGCUGUUCCUCACAGGUACAAUGUGUGCUUGAUACUAAACACACUUUUAAUCAUGAUUUUGGGAUGCUGAAACUCUAAUACUACUACUAGUAUGUUGUCACUUUUGUAAGAUCUCUUACACGCUAUUCUAUAACAUUUAGUGCCCAAGCUUUUCUUGAACCCCUAAAAAUAGGCCUGAUUACAAAAAUAUAAUAUAUGUCUCAUUUCUUUAUCCACAUUCCGAACAUUCAUUAUUAAACAUACCAUAAAAGCUGUAUAGCAUGUCAUUUUAGUAGGGGUGAAACAAUUUUACCGAAUACUCGAGUACUAGCACUCGCUCGGUUUUUUCAUAAAUAAUCGUACUUGGAAUAAAUCAGAGCACUCGUUCAAUUAUGGUACAUGCAUUUACCACAGAAAUCUGCAGUUUCAGAGCAGCAGUCGG